rnacentral:tRNA from 1 species
GGAGCGUUGCCAGAGCGGUAAUGGAGCAGAUUGCUAAUCUGUCACGGUGUUAUAGCCGUGCGUAGGUUCGAGUCCUACACGCUCCGCCA